AUGAGGGCACGGCGGAUUGGCCAGCUCGGAGCCCAGCAGGCUGAUGGGAAACUGAUUGGGAAAUGGCAAAAUUGGGGACACCAGGAAUUGCCCCUUUUUCCAGCUGGCCAUGCCCACUUUGAUGCCCUCGACGAAUCAGGUUUCCCACCCCCAUGUCCCCCUGUCCCCGCAGGGCUCCGGGCGGCCGUGACCCUGCUGGAGUGCGGGGGGGACCUCCAGCCCCCCAGGGGGUCCCUGCGCCUCCUCUGCCGAGGGACUGGGUUCAGUUUCGGGAACUACGACAUGCAAUGGAUCCGCCAGAGCCCCGGGCAGGGGCUGGAGUGGCUCGCAGGGAUCUACAGCAGCGGUGCCUACACCUACUACGCGCCAUCGCUCCAGGGCCGGGUCAUGAUCUCCAGGGACAACGGGCAGAGCUCGGUGACGCUGACCAUGACCGACCUGCGGGACGAGGAUUCCGGAUCCUAUUUCUGUGCCAAGCGUGCUGGUUCUGGUGUUUUUGCUGUUGCUGUUCCUGCUGGUGGAUCCACGGCCGAGGGUGCAGGGUUGGGGCCGGAGAGGUGA